AAAAACAUCGCCUCUUGCCAAACCAAAAAUAUAAGAGGUCCCGCCUGCCCUGUGACUAUAUGUUUAACGGCCGCGGUAUUUUGACCGUGCGAAGGUAGCGCAAUCACUUGUCUCUUAAAUGGAGACCUGUAUGAAUGGCAUAACGAGGGCUUGACUGUCUCCUCUUUCAAGUCAAUGAAAUUGAUCUCCCCGUGCAGAAGCGGGGAUGUAACCAUAAGACGAGAAGACCCUAUGGAGCUUUAGACACUAAAGCAGAUCAUAAUUUACCACCUAGCCAAAAGGAAAAAAAUUAGAUGAAUCCUGCCCUAAUGUCUUUGGUUGGGGCGACCGCGGAGAAACAAAAAACCCCCGCAUGGACCAAAUGUACAACAUUUACAACCGAGAGCUACAGCUCUAACUAACAGAACUUCUGACCAACUAGAUCCGGCAAUGCCGAUCAAUGAACCGAGUUACCCUAGGGAUAACAGCGCAAUCUCCUCUUAGAGUCCAUAUCGACGAGGGGGUUUACGACCUCGAUGUUGGAUCAGGACAUCCUAAUGGUGCAGCCGCUAUUAAGGGUUCGUUUGUUCAACGAUUAAAGUCCUACGUGAUCUGAGUUUCAAACCAGGA
rnacentral:rRNA from 1 species